CACGUAGACGGCUUUGUAAGUCGGAUGUGAAAUCCCGGGGCUCAACCUGGGAACUGCAUUCGAAACUGCAUGGCUAGAAUGUGGAAGAGGGAAGCGGAAUUCCAGGUGUAGCGGUGAAAUGCGUAGAUAUCUGGAGGAACAUCAGUGGCGAAGGCGGCUUCCUGGUCUGACAUUGACGUUCAGGUGCGAAAGCGUGGGGAGCAAACAGGAUUAGAUACCCUGGUAGUCCACGCCAUAAACGAUGAGAACUAGAUGUCGGGAGGGUCAGCCUCUCGGUGUCGCAGCUAACGCGUUAAGUUCUCCGCCUGGGGAGUACGGCCGCAAGGUUGAA
rnacentral:rRNA from 1 species